GACGAAGGGGGCUAGCGUUGUUCGGAAUUACUGGGCGUAAAGCGAGUGUAGGUGGUUGUCCAAGUUGGAUGUGAAAGCCUUGAGCUCAACUCAAGAAAUGCAUUCAGGACUGGGCGACUAGAGGACCGGAGAGGAUAGUGGAAUUCCCAGUGUAGUGGUGAAAUACGUAAGAGAUUGGGAAGAACACCAGUGGCGAAGGCGGCUCGCUGGACCUUUUCUGACGCUGAGGCGCGAAAGCUAGGGGAGCAAACGGG
rnacentral:rRNA from 1 species